CAUCCUUUAGGCCUCAUGCAUCAUGUGAAAAUGUAGAUGCAAAGGCUCCAAUAGUUGGCACCUAAUGGAUCUCUUAAGGGGGGUCAAAUAUCUAAGGCUACAAGGAUUCUUAAUGCAAGUAAGACUUAUAUUAAGGAUCUAUUUGAUUUUGAAUAUGAUUCAAAUCUUUUGCCUAUUUAAAAGGACCUUCUCUAAGACUUUUAACAUCAAA
rnacentral:lncRNA from 1 species